GGGGUGCAAGGCCUGCCUCGCUCCACCAGGACCUGGUCCUCGGCUCUAACUAGGGUGGUCUUGUGAGGGGUCGGGGUCAGGACUGUAACGUCCGUAUUGGGGGGACACCAGGCAGCUCUUGAAUGACCUCCGCAGUCCACACAACUCCUGUUGGAAGCCCCGAGGGAAGUUUUUGUAGAUGUAGACAAACUCACUCUAACAACUUAGCUGGAGGAAUUGUGCUGCCUGAUUUUAGGGUUCAUUGUGCAGCCACGGACCUCAGAAGGGAAGACUACAAUAUGGGCUGAUGGAGGUCGCUCCUGCCCACACUCCCGGCGGUGGAGCCUGAGCCAAGAGGAUCUCAAAAAGAGAACCCCUAUGGGGUGUGCUGGCCCACACCUGCAAUCCCAGGAUUCAAGAGGCUGAGGCGGGAGGAUCACUGUGAGUUUGAGGCCAGCCUGGGCUACAUAGCUAGACCUUGUCUCAAAAACAAAACAAAGCAAAAAUUGGUCAAAGACUGUUUUUUAUUUUGAUGUGGAAACUUUCUCCCUCAUGAAGCAACAGAUACUCAAACACUUAGGAAAAGCCUUAAACAUAAGAAAAAGAGCCGGG
rnacentral:lncRNA from 1 species